AUAUCCUCAAAGAGAUAAAGGAAAACAUGGACAAAUGAUUAAAUGAUAUAUGAACAAAAUGAGAAUUUCAGUCAAGUGAUGGAAAUAAUAAACAAGAAUCAAACAGAAAUACUGGAGUUAAAGACCACAAUAACGGAAAUAAAAAAUUCCCUAGAGUGGUUCAGUAGCAGACUGGAGCUGUCAGAAGGAAGAAUCAGUAAACUUGAAGAUAUGACAUUGAAAUUAUUCACUCUGAGGAGCAGAAAGGAAAAAGGGUGAGGAAAAGUGAACAGAGCCCAAAAGAUUUAUGAGACAUCAUCAAGCAUAUGAGAGUCCCAAAAGGAAAAGAAAGAAAGAGACAGAAAGAAUAUUUGAAGAAAUAAUGUCUGAAACUUCCAAAAUUUAACCAAAGGCAUGAAUAUACACAUCCAAGAAUUUCAACAAACUCCAAACAGGGUAAACCCAAAUAGACCCACACCAUGACACAUUAUAAUCAGACUGCUGAAUGCCAAAGAUAGAAUCAUGAAAGCUAUAAGGGAGAAGCAAUGCAUCAUAUACAAGGGAGACUCAAUAGAUUAAAUGCCAGUUUCUCAUCAGAAAUGAUGGAGAUAAGAAGACAGUGGGACAACAUAUUCAAAGUGCUGAAGGCACAGAAUUGUCAACCAAGAAUUCAGUAUCUGACAAAACUGUUUUUCAAAAAUGAGGGAGAGAUUGACUUUCCCAGAUAACAAAAGCUGAGGCAGUUAGUCACCACUAGAUCUGCCCCAUAAGCAAUGCUAAAGGGAGUUCUUUAGAUGGAAAGGAAAGGACAGUAUGCAAUAGUUUGAAGCUACAUAAAGAAAUAAAGGAAUCUGGGAAAGAAAUCUUCAGGUCCCUGUGCUUUUGAAUGCAUGCACAUCCAACAAAAUCAGAGGAGAAUCUGGCUCUGUUUCAAAGACUCUUCUUCUACAGGCGGAGAGAACGGCUCGCGAAAAUUCAGCUGCGGCGCCAUCUGCUGGACGCUCCGUAACACAGCAAAGCCCCGUCUAGGAUGGAGUGGUCAGAGUUGCGGGUAAAGAUCCGGCCUUUUCGCCUGUGAAGAGCUCUGGCACCAAGAAUGAAGAUCAGACAUGGAGAAAAAAGCCACAGAAGAAGCAGCCAGAAGCUGAACAUCAAAGAACCUGGAAGAGAAAGGAGAGACCAGGAGAUGCUGCCAUGUACCUUACUAUGUGGCAAGCCAAGACCAAGGAUUGCCGGCAGCCAGCCCCAGAGUACCACAGUCUUUGGGAAGAAAGCAUCACCUUGAUGAUGCCUUGAUUUGUACUUUCUUUUAGCUUCAAAACGCAGUUAAAUCUCCAUUUU